rnacentral:rRNA from 1 species
GAGUUUGAUCCUGGCUCAGGACGAACGCUGGCGGCGUGCUUAACACAUGCAAGUCGAGCGGUAAGGCCCUUUCGGGGGUACACGAGCGGCGAACGGGUGAGUAACACGUGGGUAACCUGCCCUCAGCUCUGGGAUAAGCCCGGGAAACUGGGUCUAAUACCGGAUAUGACUCCGCAUCGCAUGGUGUGGGGUGGAAAGCCUUGUGCGGCUGAGGAUGGGCCCGCGGCCUAUCAGCUUGUUGGUGGGGUAGCGGCCUACCAAGGCGACGACGGGUAGCCGGCCUGAGAGGGCGACCGGCCACACUGGGACUGAGACACGGCCCAGACUCCUACGGGAGGCAGCAGUGGGGAAUAUUGCGCAAUGGGCGAAAGCCUGACGCAGCGACGCCGCGUGAGGGAUGACGGCCUUCGGGUUGUAAACCUCUUUCAGCUCCGACGAAGCCUUCGGGUGACGGUAGGGGCAGAAGAAGCACCGGCCAACUACGUGCCAGCAGCCGCGGUAAUACGUAGGGUGCAAGCGUUGUCCGGAAUUAUUGGGCGUAAAGAGCUCGUAGGCGGUUUGUCGCGUCGACUGUGAAAACUCAGGGGCUCAACUCCGAGCUUGCAGUUGAUACGGGCAGACUAGAGUUCGGCAGGGGAGACUGGAAUUCCUGGUGUAGCGGUGAAAUGCGCAGAUAUCAGGAGGAACACCGGUGGCGAAAGCGGGUCUCUGGGCCGAUACUGACGCUGAAGAGCGAAAGCGUGGGGAGCGAACAGGAUUAGAUACCCUGGUAGUCCACGCCGUAAAACGUUGGGCCGCUAGGUGUGGGGGUCCCUUUCCACGGGUUCCGUGCC